GAUGAAGAACGUAGCGAAAUGCGAUAAGUAGUGUGAAUUGCAGAAUUCAGUGAAUCAUCGAAUCUUUGAACGCACCUUGCGCCCCUUGGUUAUUCCAAAGGGCAUGCCUGUUUGAGUAUCAUGAACACCUCAACUCUUGUGGUUUCCCACAAUGAGCUUGGACUGUGGAGGUUUUGUUGGCCCUGUGGUCAGCUCCUCUCAAAUGGAUCAGCUUACCGGUGUUUGGUGGCAUUACGGGUGUGAUAACUAUCUACGCUCGUGGUCGUCUCCAAAUAACCUCCAGUGAUGGAGGUUCGCUGGAGCUUAUAAAUGUCUCUCCCCAGUGAAGACAGCCUUUGAACGUUCGAUCUCAAAUCAGGUAGGACUACCCGCUGAACUUAAGCAUAUCAAUAAGCGGAGGA
rnacentral:misc_RNA from 1 species